rnacentral:rRNA from 1 species
GUGGGGAAUAUUGGGCAAUGGGCGAAAGCCUGACCCAGCAACGCCGCGUGAAGGAAGAAGGUUUUCGGAUCGUAAACUUCUAUCCUUGGUGAAGAUAAUGACGGUAGCCAAGAAGGAAGCCCCGGCUAACUACGUGCCAGCAGCCGCGGUAAUACGUAGGGGGCAAGCGUUGUCCGGAAUGAUUGGGCGUAAAGGGCGCGUAGGCGGCCCGGUAAGUCUGAAGUGAAAGUCCUGCUUUUAAGGUGGGAAUUGCUUUGGAUACUGUCGGGCUUGAGUGCAGGAGAGGUAAGCGGAAUUCGCGGUGUAGCGGUGAAAUGCGUAGAGAUCGGGAGGAACACCAGUGGCGAAGGCGGCUUACUGGACUGUAACUGACGCUGAGGCGCGAAAGUGUGGGGAGCAAACAGGAUUAGAUACCCGAGUAGUCC